UACGAAGGUGGCAAGCGUUAUUCGGAUUUACUGGGCGUACAGGGAGCGUAGGCGGUUCGGUAAGCCCUUUGUGAAAUCUUCAGGCUUAACCUGGAACAGUCGGAGGGGACUGCCGGGCUAGAGGACGGGAGAGGAGCGCGGAAUUCCCGGUGUAGCGGUGAAAUGCGUAGAGAUCGGGAGGAAGGCCGGUGGCGAAGGCGGCAUCCUGGACCGGCAUUGACGCUGAGGCGCGAAAGCCAGGGGAGCAAACGGG
rnacentral:rRNA from 1 species